CUCUACAAAGUUGAACAUAGGCUGAGUCUCUAUGCCUUGA
rnacentral:sRNA from 1 species